CCAUGAUCGAAUGUAGAGCCGGAGUUAUCAAGAAUGACAGAAUUUAAAAUAAAAUAAUUCAAUAUCUUUCUGCAUUAGUUUUUAAAGUAUAAUAUGAACGAGUCUAGAAGUUUGUACCUUGUAAAGUUAUCUCUGAAGGCAGCGCAGAACAUUUGUUUUCAUACGGCGUUAUAUUGCCGCUUGACGGAAAUAGACUUCAAAUAUAGAAAUAACUAAAUCGUUAUGUUCGGUUUUAAAACGGCUGUACACUGUUAUCGAAAUAUACUUUCAUGCCAUUCUGCAUUAGCGUAAGGAAAAUUGAACUAAGCAAUGCAGACGUUCUUAACUUGUGCGGCAUCCUCUGUAGGACGAGCCGAACAUAUGUGUCAUUAUAACGCCGCCAUAUGAAAACUUGAAAGACCCAGACAGUUGUUGCACUUGCGG